GAUGAAAGAACGCAGCGAAAUGCGAUAAGUAAUGUGAAUUGCAGAAUUCAGUGAAUCAUCGAAUCUUUGAACGCACAUUGCGCCCGCCAGUAUUCUGGCGGGCAUGCCUGUUCGAGCGUCAUUUCAACCCUCAAGCCCCAGUGGCCUGGUGUUGGGGACCGGCGACCUCGCCCGGGGACACCUCGCGUGCCCCCCCGGUGCGUCCGCCGCCCCCGAAAUGAAUUGGCGGCCCCGUCGCGGCCUCCUCUGCGUAGUAGCACAACCUCGCAGCGGGAGCGCGACGCGGCCACUGCCGUAAAACGCCCAACUUUUUUAGAGUUGACCUCGGAUCAGGUAGGAAUACCCGCUGAACUUAAGCAUAUCAAUAAGCGGAGGA
rnacentral:misc_RNA from 1 species